rnacentral:rRNA from 1 species
AGAGUUUGAUCCUGGCUCAGAACGAACGCUGGCGGCGUGCUUAACACAUGCAAGUCGAACGUGAUCCGGAGCUUGCUCCGGUGAAAGUGGCGCACGGGUGAGUAACGCGUGGAUAACCUGCCCUGGUGUCUGGGAUAACAUCUCGAAAGGGGUGCUAAUACCGGAUAAGCCCACGGGCUCUUCGGAGCCUGCGGGAAAAGGUGGCCUCUAUUUACAAGCUACCGCAUCAUGAUGGGUCCGCGUACCAUUAGCUAGUUGGUGGGGUAAUGGCCUACCAAGGCGACGAUGGUUAGCUGGUCUGAGAGGAUGAUCAGCCACACUGGAACUGAGACACGGUCCAGACUCCUACGGGAGGCAGCAGUGGGGAAUUUUGCGCAAUGGGGGAAACCCUGACGCAGCAACGCCGCGUGAGUGAUGAAGGCUUUCGGGUCGUAAAGCUCUGUCAGAGGGGAAGAAAUGGGUCGUGCUAAUAUCACGGCUUCUUGACGGUACCCUCAAAGGAAGCACCGGCUAACUCCGUGCCAGCAGCCGCGGUAA